UACGUAGGGGGCAAGCGUUGUCCGGAAUUAUUGGGCGUAAAGAGCGUGUAGGCGGCCAGGUAGGUCUGCUGUGAAAACUCGAGGCUCAACCUCGAGACGUCGGCGGAAACCAUCUGGCUAGAGUCCGGAAGAGGAGAGUGGAAUUCCUGGUGUAGCGGUGAAAUGCGCAGAUAUCAGGAGGAACACCGAUGGCGAAGGCAGGUCUCUGGGCCAUAACUGACGCUGAGAAGCGAAAGCAUGGGGAGCGAACAGG
rnacentral:rRNA from 1 species